rnacentral:rRNA from 1 species
ACUCAAAUGAAUUGACGGGGGCCCGCACAAGCGGUGGAGCAUGUGGUUCAAUUCGACGCAACGCGAAGAACCUUACCUGGGCUUGAACUGGAGUGGAAGUUGGCAGAGAUGUCAAUGUCCUUUACCGGACUGCUCUAGAGGUGCUGCAUGGCUGUCGUCAGCUCGUGUCGUGAGAUGUUGGGUUAAGUCCCGCAACGAGCGCAACCCUUGCCCUUAGUUGCUAACAGGUUAUGCUGAGAACCCUAAGGGAACUGUCGGCGAUAAGCCGGAGGAAGGUGGGGAUGACGUCAAGUCCUCAUGGCCUUUAUGUCCAGGGCUACACACGUGCUACAAUGGGCGGUACAAAGGGUUGCAAACCCGCGAGGGGGAGCCAAUCCCAGAAAACCGCUCUCAGUUCGGAUUGUAGUCUGCAACUCGACUACAUGAAGCUGGAAUCGCUAGUAAUCGCGGAUCAGCACGCCGCGGUGAAUACGUUCCCGGGCCUUGUACACACCGCCCGU